GGGAGAGAGAAUUAAUGGUUUACUGUUGACCAGCGUUUCUCUGGACCCAAGGUGGGGAAAUUACAAAAAGAUCACAUCACAUUCCUUUGAUCUUAUGAUUUCCACACAGGCAAGUGCAGAUCGUCAAAUGGGAGAGUUCAGAGCGUUGAAAGGACUUGCUCAAGGUGGGAGCUGGUGGUGCAAAAAGGGAGCAAUCCCAGUGCAACACCUUUCACAUAGUGCCUACCACGUACCCGCCCCAGGUCCCACACGGAGGUGCAGAGAGGCGGAGGAAACUGCACAGGUGAGGAAGGAGAAAAGGACCACUCUGAGAGAGGACAGGAGAGAGGAAGGCAGCCCCAGAAGCAAGAGCCUAUUCUUCUGACCCUAAACUGAGAUAUGCUGAGUAACUGCAAAAGGUAACUUGAGAACGGCUGCUCCUGGCUAUUAAGGUCAUAGUCCAGCAAACCCUUAACACGUGCCCCAAAAAAGACCUUAAGACCAACUUCCCAGGGAUUCCGGGACCACCUCACCACUUGCCCGAGAGGAGAACACCCAAACUGAACCCUCCAUCUCCAGGCACAUGUUAAACUACAUUUUCCAGCCCUCUUGCUUUGAGGCUGGCCAUGUCACUGAGUUCUGGCAAUGAAACGGGCACAGAAGUGAUUUUUGUCACUUUCAGGCCUGAUCCAUAAAAACCUCGAUCCGUCAUCCCCUUUUCCAUCAUCCCUAUCUGGAUGACCCAGGGCACCACGAAGCCAUGUGAUGAAGAUGGGGAGAGCUUGGUCCCUGAAUGAUUACAUGGAGCAGAGCACCCUUCACCCUGCCCGCUGCCACCUACACUGAACUAUGACUUGGAUGAAAUAAACCUUCCCUGUGUUAAUCCGAUGGGCAAAUUGAGACUCAGAGAAGCUUAGUAACGGCCCCUGGCCACAGUGGCAGAAAUUAAAUUUGAUCUCAGCUUUGUCUGCUUCCAAAGUCUUUGCUCAUGGCGCUAUCUGGAUCUUGAGCAUCUACCCCACUCUGGACCACGAAGAUGAGGACCACACUUUGGAAAGGAUCGAUCAGAAAGUCGGAAGGAUCUUGGGUCUGGGUGACUCCCUGACUGGCCUACCU
rnacentral:lncRNA from 1 species